rnacentral:rRNA from 1 species
UACGGGGGGGGCAAGCGUUGUUCGGAAUUACUGGACGUAAAGGGCUCGUAGGCGGCCAACUAAGUCAGACGUGAAAUCCCUCGGCUUAACCGGGGAACUGCGUCUGAUACUGGAUGGCUUGAGUUUGGGAGAGGGAUGCGGAAUUCCAGGUGUAGCGGUGAAAUGCGUAGAUAUCUGGAGGAACACCGGUGGCGAAGGCGGCAUCCUGGACCAACACUGACGCUGAGUGAGCGAAAGCCAGGGGAGCAAACGGG